UACCUGCAGCUCGAGUGGUAACCGCUAUUAUUGGGCCUAAAGCGUCCGUAGCCGGUUUGGUAAAUAUCUGGGUAAAUCGUGAGGCUUAACUUCACGAAUUUCGGAUAGACUGCCAGACUUGGGAUCGGGGGAGGUCAGAGGUACUCCAGGGGUAGCGGUGAAAUGUUGUAAUCCUUGGAGGACCACCGGUAGCGAAGGCGUCUGACUAGAACGAGUCCGACGGUGAGGGACGAAGCCCUGGGGCGCAAACCGGAUUAGAUGCCCGGGUAGUCCAGGGUGUAAACAAUGUUGGCUUUGUAUUGGAGGUCCCACGUGGGCGUCCAGUGCAGAAGAGAAGUUGUUAAGCCCACCGCCUGGGAAGUACGGUCGCAAGGCUGAAACUUAAAGGAAUUGGCGGGGAGCACAGCAACGGGAGGAGCGUGCGGUUU
rnacentral:rRNA from 1 species